CUGACCUCAAAUCAGGUAGGAUUACCCGCUGAAC
rnacentral:rRNA from 1 species